GCUACCAUAGCUCAGUGGGUAGAGCAUCGGCAUCAUAUGUCGAAGGUCUCGGGUUCAAGUCCCGAUGGAGCA